rnacentral:rRNA from 1 species
UACGGGGGGGGCAAGCGUUGUUCGGAAUUACUGGGCGUAAAGGGCGCGUAGGCGGCCUACUAAGUCGGACGUGAAAUCCCUCAGCUUAACUGGGGAACUGCGUCUGAUACUGAGUGGCUUGAGUGCAGGAGAGGAAUGCGGAAUUCCAGGUGUAGCGGUGAAAUGCGUAGAUAUCUGGAGGAACACCGGUGGCGAAGGCGGCAUCCUGGACCAACACUGACGCUGAGGAGCGAAAGCCAGGGGAGCAAACGGG